rnacentral:tRNA from 1 species
GCUGGAGUGGUGGAACUGGUAGACACGCAGGCUUGAGGGGCCUGUGGCCGCAAGGUCGUGGAGGUUCAAGUCCUCUCUCCAGCA